CCACCGCACACCCCAAAUUCCAAGGGUGUAACACACUCACAACAUGAAACGACACACAGCCGAACGACAGGGCGCACUGGACUAAAUCCUCCUCUAAACGAGACAACACAUAACACUGUCUCAGGGUUUGCGCCCUACAUCCCUUUUGAUGAGAGGGAGGCUGAACAGCAGGCACAAGAAUAUAAGAAUAAAGACAGACUGGUAG